AGAGAACGCUGGCGGUAGGCCUAACACAUGCAAGUCGAACGGCAGCACAGGAGAGCUUGCUCUCUGGGUGGCGAGUGGCGGACGGGUGAGGAAUACAUCGGAAUCUACUCUGUCGUGGGGGAUAACGUAGGGAAACUUACGCUAAUACCGCAUACGACCUACGGGUGAACGCAGGGGACCUUCGGGCCUUGCGCGAUUGAAUGAGCCGAAGUCGGAUUAGCUAGUUGGCGGGGUAAAGGCCCACCAAGGCGACGAUCCGUAGCUGGUCUGAGAGGAUGAUCAGCCACACUGGAACUGAGACACGGUCCAGACUCCUACGGGAGGCAGCAGUGGGGAAUAUUGGACAAUGGGCGCAAGCCUGAUCCAGCCAUACCGCGUGGGUGAAGAAGGCCUUCGGGUUGUAAAGCCCUUUUGUUGGGAAAGAAAUCCAGCUGGCUAAUACCCGGUUGGGAUGACGGUACCCAAAGAAUAAGCACCGGCUAACUUCGUGCCAGCAGCCGCAGUAA
rnacentral:rRNA from 1 species